rnacentral:rRNA from 1 species
AUGGAGAGUUUGAUCCUGGCUCAGGACGAACGCUGGCGGCGUGCUUAACACAUGCAAGUCGAACGGAAAGGCCCGCUUGCGGGUACUCGAGUGGCGAACGGGUGAGUAACACGUGAGUAACCUGCCCUUGACUUUGGGAUAACUUCAGGAAACUGGGGCUAAUACCGGAUAGGAGCUCCUGCUGCAUGGUGGGGGUUGGAAAGUUUCGGCGGUUGGGGAUGGACUCGCGGCUUAUCAGCUUGUUGGUGGGGUAGUGGCUUACCAAGGCUUUGACGGGUAGCCGGCCUGAGAGGGUGACCGGCCACACUGGGACUGAGACACGGCCCAGACUCCUACGGGAGGCAGCAGUGGGGAAUAUUGCACAAUGGGCGAAAGCCUGAUGCAGCAACGCCGCGUGGGGGAUGACGGCCUUCGGGUUGUAAACCUCUUUUAGUAGGGAAGAAGGGCUUCGGCUUGACGGUACCUGCAGAAAAAGCACCGGCUAACUACGUGCCAGCAGCCGCGGUAAUACGUAGGGUGCAAGC